rnacentral:rRNA from 1 species
UACGUAGGGUGCGAGCGUUUGUCCGGAAUUAUUGGGCGUAAAGAGCUCGUAGGCGGUGUGUCACGUCGGCCGUGAAAACCUGCAGCUUAACUGUGGGCGUGCGGUCGAUACGGGCAUCACUGGAGUUCGGCAGGGGAGACUGGAAUUCCUGGUGUAGCGGUGAAAUGCGCAGAUAUCAGGAGGAACACCGGUGGCGAAGGCGGGUCUCUGGGCCGAUACUGACGCUGAGGAGCGAAAGCGUGGGGAGCGAACAGG